rnacentral:rRNA from 1 species
GACGAACGCUGGCGGCGUGCCUAACACAUGCAAGUCGAACGGAACUUUUUUAAAAGAUUUCUUCGGAAUGAAUUUGAUUAAGUUUAGUGGCGGACGGGUGAGUAACGCGUGAGUAACCUGCCUCUAAGAGGGGAAUAACAUUCUGAAAAGAAUGCUAAUACCGCAUAACAUAUAUUUAUCGCAUGGUAGAUAUAUCAAAGAUUUAUCGCUUAGAGAUGGACUCGCGUCCGAUUAGUUAGUUGGUGAGGUAACGGCUCACCAAGACCGCGAUCGGUAGCCGGACUGAGAGGUUGAACGGCCACAUUGGGACUGAGACACGGCCCAGACUCCUACGGGAGGCAGCAGUGGGGGAUAUUGCGCAAUGGGGGAAACCCUGACGCAGCAACGCCGCGUGAAGGAUGAAGGGUCUUCGGAUUGUAAACUCUAUCAGCAGGGAAGAUAAUGACGGUACCUGACUAAGAAGCACCGGCUAAAUACGUG